GACGAACGCUGGCGGCGUGCUUAUCACAUGCAAGUCGAACGGAAAGGCCCUGCUUGCAGGGUACUCGAGUGGCGAACGGGUGAGUAACACGUGGGUGAUCUGCCCUGCACUUCGGGAUAAGCCUGGGAAACUGGGUCUAAUACCGGAUAGGAGCCAUUUUUAGUGUGAUGGUUGGAAAGUUUUUUCGGUGUAGGAUGAGCUCGCGGCCUAUCAGCUUGUUGGUGGGGUAAUGGCCUACCAAGGCGGCGACGGGUAGCCGGCCUGAGAGGGUGGACGGCCACAUUGGGACUGAGAUACGGCCCAGACUCCUACGGGAGGCAGCAGUGGGGAAUAUUGCACAAUGGGCGCAAGCCUGAUGCAGCGACGCCGCGUGGGGGAUGACGGCCUUCGGGUUGUAAACUCCUUUCGCUAGGGACGAAGCUUUUUGUGACGGUACCUAGAUAAGAAGCACCGGCUAACUACGUG
rnacentral:rRNA from 1 species